CUCUGUUCCCUCAUUAGAACUGGAGUGCAUAUUUAUUUCCUACAAAAGUCACAACAAAAAUCACCAAUCUUUCCAGCGUACAAUCAGAGAUCUUGCAGCCAGUCCAAAACCCUAUCCUUCCUUAUUUGGGCCAGAUUUCAGGAGGAUUGAGAGAAGGCAUGGCCUUGUACUUACAGGGAGUUGUUCCCACUAAUGCUGACAAGUUUGAACUAAAUUUAAAAACUGGGCCAUCUGACAAUGAUGACAUUGCUUUCCACUUCAACCCU